GCAGCCCAUGAAAAAAAAAUGUAUCACGGCAAAGAACAAGGCUACGAAGGAAUGGGGAGAGAAGCUGAAGAAAGGGGGCAAUAUUGCCAAACUUUUUGAUGCUGCACGGAUUCUGAUUCACAAGUUCAAAAUGGCAGGUUUACACCCACUGCUUUUAUAUGGUCACUCCAAAAAAGAGACUGUGUCCUGUGGCAAGCGGUGUGGGCUGGAUUUAGCCACGGAGACUGAAGAGGAGAGCAUUCAGUCCAUCCACACUCUGUAUGAGAGAAUCUUGAAAGGUUAGUCCAUAGAAUGCUUUAUUGGUGCUUUUUUAUUCAUAUUUCAUCUUACCGUCCUGCAUCACUGAUUCAUCACAAGAUAUUUCAGACCACCCGUAUAGAGGGGUUAAACUUGCAUGAGUCAUGCAUGUAUUGUCUGAGCCCUGUUUUGUGCAUAUGUAGCAUUUAUACAUGAAUCCCCUGGUUUAUAUCAUCUACCAGGCACCAAAGAAGACCUGCUCAGUAUCUUCUGGAGUGAUGGAUAAUAUCAUGCCAACACUGUCGUUUCUGCCAUUUUUCCUGGUUUUCUUAGUUACAGGGUUAGAAAUAAUUAGAAUUGUAAUGAUGUUUAUCUCCACUCACUCAUAUAGGUAAUGUUAGGACUUCACAGUCACCUGAACACACAAUGGAUGCAAAAGAAAUACAAAUACAGAUUUUCAAAGAGCACCAAAAUAGCUAGGAAUUGUUUGUGCGAACCAUUAGCUUAGAUUUCUUGAUGCAUUUGGUUCUCACAACAUUGGUUCACAAUCUCAGUUAUCAAUCUGUCAUGUUUCAAUUACGUACUUAUUGAGCUGACAAGUGUCUUGUAUCUUGAACUUAAAAUGAGAGGACCUGGGUAAAUUAUGGUCAGACUCAUUAUUUGAGUCAAGGACAAAUGGUAAAAUGAAGAACAAUCACAACAAUCAGAUCUACAACUUGUUCCAUGACAACAGACUGACUGAAAUGUUGGGGUCCAAUACAUUAACAAAUUGGCUUUCUAUUAUGAUAUAAACAAGACCAGCACACAGUAGUUCUAAAUUUUAGCACCGUGCAGGUGUAAGAAGAAUAUGAAAAUAGGAAGUCUGUAUGUGUUUGUCCUGUUGCAUGUGUGUAAAAGGGCAUUAUCUGUUUGUAGGUAUGUAAUGUCUGUUUUGGCACUUAUGAAUAGGCAAUGAUGCAAAAAAUGUUGUCAGAUGACUCAGUAUCAGUUGUUUCCUGCAGCAUAAAGGAGCAAGAUAAAGGCUAGUGCUCAAACAAUGAGGUUAUGCUGAAGAUGUUCAACUCUGCUUACAAAUGGUACCUGAGAAAGCCUAUCACUGCAAAUAUUUUUCAACUGAGUGCACUUGAAUAGUUGUAACUGCUAUAAAUUAGUGUAUAUAUUAUAUAAAACACAAGCAAGAUACUGUAUGUAUAAUAGUAACAACUUAAAGAAUAUUUUUAAAACUGCUUGCCCGCUGAUGAAAUUGCAGUCCACACAUCUCUAAUGUAUGACGAUGAUAAUACAGAAUGAAUGACAAUGAAGAUAACUCUUUUCCAAACAGUGAUCAUUAAAAGGGAGACAGGGGUUGCAGCCUUGUCCCCGGUGGACCCAGAGGGACAAAGGGACCCUGCUAAGCCCUCUCUCCAUCCUGAGGCUGUAGAUGGGGCCUUCACCACAGAGGAGGAUGGGACUUUUAUUUUGACUUGAACACCUUGUGGUAAGAAGGACUGCAUGACAAUUUUGUUACUGUAAAACACUUUGAGUCCACUUCAGAGGACUGUGGAAGAAAUUCUUCUUGAAUGUUGAGAGUUUCUAAUUCUCUUUUUCAUGCUUCAUGGAGAGAAGACCCGUAUGGUUCUUCUCUGUUGGGCUUUUAGUGUGUCUUGUCUUAUAUCCUGACUGCCUCACAGCUUAGACACAGAGGGAAGAGGGUUGGAAGCACAAAUUCUAGGAUUGUGAUUGUGUUCCCCUUCUCUUAAGCCUGGAAGUAAAAAGCACUGGAUGUGAUACAAGCUUGCAAUGUAAUGUUACCUACAUUUAUACGACUUGCAAACAACAUUUGAACUUCACAACAUAAAGACCUAUUAGUACAUUAUUACAUGAGUACUCAGUAGUUAUUGGUUGGAUGACACCCACCUUGGAACUAAAACCUUCAACUAUACACUGCAUCUUUCAAGGUUGUUAAAUUAUUGCUGUGACAAAAUUUGUCCAUAGACAAAGAAACACCUGGUAAAGACUAAUGAAGUGAAAACAAUUCCAGCCACUCGCCUCACUGCUGGUAAUUUUUAUACGCAACACAUUUGACAACAGUGGGCAAUAGCAUGUUUCUCAUGGAACACCCUCGGAUGCUCUUAAGACACUAUGGUGGAAUUCAUUAGU
ensembl:lncRNA